GAUGAAGAACGCAGCGAAAUGCGAUAAGUAAUGUGAAUUGCAGAAUUCAGUGAAUCAUCGAAUCUUUGAACGCAUCUUGCGCUCCUUGGUAUUCCUUGGAGCAUGCCUGUUUGAGUAUCAUGAGCAAAUCUCAAAGUCAAUUCCUUUUGUUAAUUCAAUUGGUUUUGCUUUGGACUUGGAGGUCUUGCAGAUUUUCACAGUCUGCUCCUCUUAAAUGUAUUAGCUGGAUCUCGGUAUAUGCUCGGUUCCACUCGGCGUGAUAAGUAAUCACUCGCUGAGGACACUUUGUAAAAAAAGGUGGCCGGGAAAUACAGACGAACCGCUUCUAACAGUCCAUUUGCUUGGACAAUAAAGUUUUAAGAUCUGAUCUCAAAUCAGGUAGGACUACCCGCUGAACUUAAGCAUAUCAAUAAGCGGAGGA
rnacentral:misc_RNA from 1 species